rnacentral:rRNA from 1 species
UACGUAGGGUGCGAGCGUUGCCCGGAUUUAUUGGGCGUAAAGGGCACGUAGGCGACAUGCCAAGCGUGUGGUGAAAGCCCGGGGCUCAACCCCGGGUCGGCCGUGCGGACUGGCGUGCUCGAGCACUGUAGGGGCGGGUGGAAGUUCCGGGUGUAGCGGUGGAAGUGCGUAGAGAUCCGGAAGAACACCGGUGGCGAAGGCGGCCCGCUGGGCAGGAAGACACCGCAAGGUGUCGGCUGACGCUGAGGCGCGACAGCGUGGGAGCAACAGG